rnacentral:rRNA from 1 species
GAUGAACGCUGGCGGCGUGCCUAAUACAUGCAAGUCGAGCGAACAGACGAGGAGCUUGCUCCUCUGACGUUAGCGGCGGACGGGUGAGUAACACGUGGAUAACCUACCUAUAAGACUGGGAUAACUUCGGGAAACCGGAGCUAAUACCGGAUAACAUGUUGAACCGCAUGGUUCAACAGUGAAAGACGGUCUUGCUGUCACUUAUAGAUGGAUCCGCGCCGCAUUAGCUAGUUGGUAAGGUAACGGCUUACCAAGGCAACGAUGCGUAGCCGACCUGAGAGGGUGAUCGGCCACACUGGAACUGAGACACGGACCAGACUCCUACGGGAGGCAGCAGUAGGGAAUCUUCCGCAAUGGGCGAAAGCCUGACGGAGCAACGCCGCGUGAGUGAAGAAGGUGUUCGGAUCGUAAAACUCUGUUAUUAGGGAAGAACAAAUGUGUAAGUAACUAUGCACGUCUUGACGGUACCUAAUCAGAAAGCCACGGCUAACUACGUG